rnacentral:rRNA from 1 species
UACCAUGCAAGUCGAACGGUAAGGCCCCUUCGGGGGUACACGAGUGGCGAACGGGUGAGUAACACGUGAGCAACCUGCCCUUGACUUCGGAAUACCAGCUGGAAACAGCUGCUAAUACCGGAUAUGACCUCGACUCUAUUGGGUUGGGGUGGAAAGCUCCGGCGGUCAGGGAUGGGCUCGCGGCCUAUCAGCUUGUUGGUGAGGUAAUGGCUCACCAAGGCUUCGACGGGUAGCCGGCCUGAGAGGGCGACCGGCCACACUGGGACUGAGAUACGGCCCAGACUCCUACGGGAGGCAGCAGUGGGGAAUAUUGCACAAUGGGCGCAAGCCUGAUGCAGCAACGCCGCGUGCGGGAUGACGGCCUUCGGGUUGUAAACCGCUUUCAGUAGGGACGAAGCUAACGUGACGGUACCUACAGAAGAAGGACCGGCUAACUACGUGCCAGCAGCCGCGGUGAUACGUAGGGUCCGAGCGUUGUCCGGAAUUAUUGGGCGUAAAGGGCUUGUAGGCGGUCCGUCGCGUCAGGAGUGAAAACUCGGGGCUUAACCCCGAGCCUGCUUUUGAUACGGGCGGACUAGAGGGAUGCAGGGGAGAACGGAAUUCCUGGUGGAGCGGUGGAAUGCGCAGAUAUCAGGAGGAACACCGGUGGCGAAGGCGGUUCUCUGGGCAUCACCUGACGCUGAGAAGCGAAAGCGUGGGGAGCAAACAGGCUUAGAUACCCUGGUAGUCCACGCCGUAAACGGUGGGCACUAUGUGUGGGGGACAUUCCACGUUCUCCGUGCCGAAGCUAACGCAUUAAGUGC